ACCACACAUCACAUAGCUUUUAGAUUUUAUGAAUCAAUUUUUAUAUUAAUCAGUGAUUAAGCUUUUACUAGGAAUCCGGGAAUUAAAUGCACGAGUUCAUAGUUUUUAACACAAUGGCAUCAUGUUCCUCCAAAUCGAAAGAUCGGGGGAAGGCUGUCGUCCCACCGGCUCCAGCCCUCCAUUGUGGUGGAUCUAAUGAAGAACAGAAUUUCCAAGGUGAAGCUCUUCGUUGCCGACCCAAUCGUGCUCCGGGGGCUUGCUAGGAGCCUCAUCCAGGUGCUGGUGGAGACCCCCAACGACAUGCUUGGGGUUUUAGGUUCUUCACCCGCCGCCGCCGUUCUAGUUUAAAGGGGGCGUCGAUAUCAAGUAUUUGUCGGCAUGUUUUGUACUGAAAUUUCGAUAGGGUUUUCUUGAAUCUUCUUUAUAUAAUGCAUUUUCUCUGUUUUUUCAGUAAUUUUUUUUUAAAAAAAAUUUCGGUGCUUCUUUAUGUGAAUGCUGAUUAAUUCGCCUGUAUCUUUCCUCCUCUUUUCUUAGAUUUGUCGAACGCUUGGACAUGUAUCGCAUUUUUUUUAGUUAGGGCAGGAUUUCAUAAUGUAGAGGAGAUGCUAUUAGUACACGCAUUAGUUUUAUCUCAAUGGAGUUUACGAUUUAUUAGUAUUAUUGCUAUUUGAUUGGGAAUUUCUUUUACCUUCAAAACAUAAUCAUAUUCAGGUAAUUAAGCAUUCCUCUCUAGAAAGAACUGUACAAGGUUUGUGCAAACCAAUACCCCCCGCCCCUUUUUCUCCAAACAAGAGCCUCUGUAUUCUCAUUCUCUGUUCUUAAUCCUUUGCAUGAGCUUCCUUUUUGUUGGUUUGCUUUGCCGUCAGAAUCAUCUGUAAAAUCCAAAGGACCUGGGAGGAUGUCGGUUACUCGAAAUCAUGUGAUUUCCACAGAUUGGUCGGGUGGCUGGAGUCCUGGGGAGUUGCUGAUCUUCCAGUUCAGAGAUUUUUGAGACUCCCAUGUUAACCUUUCUGAUGGGCUUAUUGUCCCAAAAAUCUUGGGGACAGCGGAUGGGUGGUGUCCUUCAGUCCCCUCUGUAUUCUGUCUCCACAGCUUUUUAUUCGUUUAUCUUCGUAUUAAUGCGGAGAUACCGCCCCUACAGGAGAAUUGCACAAUUCAGAUGGCCCCUAAAAACUAUUUACAAUUCCUUGCUCUCAUAUAUGUCAUAAUCCAAUGUUGAAUUGAGAAUCUGAAUGAAGAAGCCUGCAAGAUAGACAUUCCACCCAAUUAUCCUGUCUUUUUUUAUUUUAUAUUAUAUUUGUUGCUAAUCAAAUUUAGCAGAAAAUAAUCUUGCACGCUACGUUGUGUGAGGAAUCUAAUUAGGUUUUUCAGGAUUAGUUAUAACAGUUGCUAAUGCCAACUCCAGUAGUAUGAUUAUAUAUCUGUGCUAAUAAUGACUAAACCCAUGGCAUAAUUUGAUCUAUUGAUUAUCCUUGUUGGUUAAAAGGCAUAUAUAAAAUCUUCUGUUGUUUAGUUGUGCAUAAAUUUUUGUAGUCAUUGCUUUAUAAUCUUUGCAGAAAUCAUCAUAAGAAAUAAGAUGUAAUGAAUAUUAUGAUUGCUGUUCUAGAUAUCAUGAGCAUAUCGUUAUAAACCUAUGCUACUCGCAUGUUGAGUUAGAUGGACCUGCCAUAUUUUUAUGUACAUGUUCUACAAUUCUUUUAGUCUAACAUUAGUAGCACAUCCAUCUUAACUUAGUCAUAUAAAAUUCUGUAUUCUUACGUCUAUGUCAAGUCAUUUUAUAGCUGCUGUAUCAUGAUUGUUAUAAUCAUUUCAUUCUAGACGCAUUCAAAGGAAUGCCAUAAGAUAAUGUUUACUGCUGCCAUCAUAGAACCCACAGUGCCUUAUCAGAUAAACGUAAUAAUUUAUAUGUUACAACCUCACAAAAAUUAAAAAAAUGCUCAGGAGCUGUAUGAUGCAAUAAAUCUGAACAUGGGUCUAAAUAAUGUUGAGCUCAAAUGUUUUACACCCUGAAACUUUUUACCUCUACAUAAUGGUCGAAAAUUCAUUGCUACAAAUUCCUGAACUCUAAGACCUUCAUAGUGGAGUUAGAUCCUAAACGAGGAUGACCAAGUAUAUCCUACACUAAGUACCUCCAACCUGGUCAAGCUUUGCAAGCACUUGUAGACAUUCCCUAGGAAUGUUAACCCUUACAAUAGCUUUCUACUCUCCUCAUUCUUUUUUUAAAUACGAAAAAUUGGAUUGUGUUAGGAUCGUUUAGAACAAUAUCUCUUGCCUUUAUCAUUUCACGAUUUCUUAUAUAUUUCUUCUGUGUCUAAUAUAAAACUGUUUUCCUUUCAUUCCCUUUUUAUUAACCUUUGUUAUUUACUAGUCUUAUUGAUUGGGAUGCUUAGUGUCCUUAAAAUUCUAAAUAUUCAGAAUUUGUAUGGAAACCGGUAAGGAAAAGUUUUUUUUUUCAUCUUCUUUCUCUAAGAAAAAUUUCUUUGCCUUUCUUCUCUCCUUGCAUUUCAUUAUUUUUCUCUAUGGGGCAUCAACAGUUGAGAUUGCUUCACUUAUAUUCCCUUCAUGAUUGUGCAUGUGGAGGGAAUGAGACUGGUAGGUUUAUCAUGUGUUUGCACUGUUGCAUGGCCACGAAUAUGAGAAUCAGAUUGAGACACAUAUCCGGGUGUAUGACAGGGCAAAAGAUAAAGAGAAGACAUAUAAGAACCAAAGGAAAAAAAUGCAAUAGCUAAAUUAGAUAUUUAUUUUUUAACAAGUACUAUAUAGUAGAAAACACUAACAUUAUUUGUUAAGGUGUUUAAAUAUACAUGUUCCUCAUCAUCAAAUAUUAACUCAAGAAUAUGCAAAAACAUGACAUUUCACAAAAUUAUUUCCACAUCCAAAUUCUUGACCAAGCUCUAGGACCCACUACAGCUCACUUCUGAUGUCAUUGCAAUGGGUUGGACUCGUUGCUGAAUGAGUCUAAGUCUCCACAAAUUUCCAGAAGCUGCAACCAAAGAAUAUGAUAGAUAUCUAAGCAACCAAAGGAUAUGAUAGAUAUCUAAAUGUCUGACAUUAAUCAUGGAUACAUAUCAACAUGAGUUCUUUGAGCUGAAUUUGAGAAUCCAGGUGGCACAGGUUAUUUGUAUCCCGGCACAGGAUCACUACUUCCCCUUUACAAAGGAAGCAAUCAGCCUUGUGCAAUUGUUCAUUGCACCUUGAACAACAGGUUUGCUUGCAAAGCUAAGGUGUCACGCCCCGGAUCCGGUUCCGUGACACGGCCGUGCUAUUGCCGACUACCGCCCACAAUAGCACGCAGCCUCGUACAUGGUCAACAGGUAGUCAAAAGCAGUGUAACUUGUAUAUAUCAAAAGAAGGUAUUACAACCCACUGGUUCAUAUAAAGUACAGAGCUUCUACAUAGUUUAUAUACACAAAAGUUUAUUUAUAUCAUCCCCAAAAAUAAAGAAGCCCUGUUGCAAAAGAAAAAUGCUUCUGGCAGCUGUCACUGGUGGUGAUCUAAAAAAAAAAAAACGUAAAUGAACAGGCAUGAGCUACACGGCUCAGUAAGUAAUCCUGCAUAAUCUUGUCGAAUCGACUAAAAAUGCUAACCAUGCUUAUCAGGGUUUGAGAAGCUGACAUGUAUGCUACUAAAUCAAUCAUCAUAAUAAAAUAUCCAUGCUGAGUAAAUAAAACAGUAUCCUACAAUGUCAAGAAAUCAUGUAAUAUGCA